rnacentral:rRNA from 1 species
GAGAUUCCCCCAGUAGCGGCGAGCGAACGGGGAGCAGCCCAGAGUCUGAAUCAGCUUGUGUGUUAGUGGAACGGUCUGGAAAGUCCGACGGUACAGGGUGAUAGUCCCGUACACGAAAAUGCACAGGCUGUGAACUCGAAGAGUAGGGCGGGACACGUGGUAUCCUGUCUGAAUAUGGGGGGACCAUCCUCCAAGGCUAAAUACUCCUGACUGACCGA